rnacentral:rRNA from 1 species
GACGAACGCUGGCGGCGUGCUUAACACAUGCAAGUCGAACGGAAAGGCCCUGCUUUUGUGGGUUGCUCGAGUGGCGAACGGGUGAGUAACACGUGAGUAACCUGCCCUUGACUUUGGGAUAACUUCAGGAAACUGGGGCUAAUACCGGAUAGGAGCUCCUGCUGCAUGGUGGGGGUUGGAAAGUUUCGGCGGUUGGGGCUGGACUCGCGGCUUAUCAGCUUGUUGGUGGGGUAGUGGCUUACCAAGGCUUUGACGGGUAGCCGGCCUGAGAGGGUGACCGGCCACAUUGGGACUGAGAUACGGCCCAGACUCCUACGGGAGGCAGCAGUGGGGAAUAUUGCACAAUGGGCGGAAGCCUGAUGCAGCAACGCCGCGUGCGGGAUGACGGCCUUCGGGUUGUAAACCGCUUUCGCCUGUGACGAAGCGUGCGUGACGGUAAUGGGUAAAGAAGCCCCGGCUAACUACGUG